GGGAAUGUAGCUCAGUGGUAGAGUGCUUGUCUAACAUGUAUGAAGCCUUGGGUUCAAUUCCUCAGUACCA
rfam:Dipodomys ordii contig_40762, whole genome shotgun sequence.